rnacentral:lncRNA from 1 species
AGGCCCGAACCCGGUACCACGAGCCUGGCGGCCGGAGCGAGGUAUUCCCCGGGGGCCACCAGCACGUGCCAGCGCCUCUCCGGGGAUCCUGCGGCAGAGGCGGCGUGGGGAGCGGGCUCUGCGGGGCCUGCGGAACACCCGGGCAGCGCGGCCCUCGGGGGAGCCCCUGCGGAAAGCACAAUCCGGGGAAGACCCCAGUUCACCCCCACUCCUAGGCAGAAGCUCACACCCGCCAAUCUCUGCCCUGAAGCUGAAAGCAAACUUCCAGCGGACGUCACUCAACCGCUCGAAAAUCCGAGCCCGCUCAGCUCCGUUCUUAAACGACCGCCGGGGCCUCGAGCCGCCUCCGACGCUUCCCCCGGCAGGCCCCACUUGGCCGCCCGCCGCCGGGAUGCCCGGCCCGCCGCACCGGAAGCGGCCGCGGCUGCGCCCCACGACGCCCCGCCCCCAGCGAGCGUGGCGGAAGCGCCUCGCUCGGGGAAGGAGACCACGGCCGCCUGGCCGAGCGCGCAUGCGCUAGCGCCGCGCCCGCGCAGCUGGCGGUGGGGGCGUCUGCCGCGCUCGCUCCUCGUGUCCGCAGCCCCCGCCCCCGCCCCCGCCCCGCGGAGAGUCGGGCUCACGCCAUCUUGUGCCCCCUCCCCCCCAAAACCCCUGCCCGGGGCUGAGCCACUUUCUGCUUUUCGACACUCUCAGCCCUCCACCCCGCCCCCUUUCGUAGCGUGUCCCGGGCGCCGCCGCAGAAACCGCAGCAUCUCUCCCCACACUGUCCACGCGGGACGCGCAGCCGUGCCUACAGUGUUAGAGCGGAGAUGAAUAAUACUGCAGCCAGCCCAAUGUCUACUGCUACUUCAAGUAGUGGAAGAAGUACAGGGAAGUCCAUAAGCUUUGCAGCAGAGUUACAGAGUAUGAUGUAAGUAUGUCUCUGCAUCACAGAUUACUGUUUUGAUUUACGUUGAUAAGAGAUAAUAGAAACAAUAAAAUUUCUAAAACUUGGAAAUGUGGACUUAAU